GCGAUCAUACCAGCACUAAUGCCCCGGAUCCCAUCAGAACUCCGCAGU
rnacentral:rRNA from 1 species